AGGGAAGAGAGAGGGGGAGAGGGAGAGGGAGGGACAGACGUCCGCACCGCCUUUCCCCUUCCACCUCCCACUCCGCCAUCCCCACCCCUGCCUCCACCCCCGUCCCGCUCUCGGUCUCCGCGCUCUGAUUCCGGCGCGCCUCGCCGGGUCGGAGGCCGCCAUCCCCACCCCUGCCUCCACCCGCAUCCCGCUCACGUUCCCCGCGCUCUGACGCCGGUGCGCCUCGCCGGGUCGGAGACCGCCAUCCCCACCCCUGCCUCCACCCGCAUCCCGCUCUCGGAUCCCGCGCUCUGACGCCGCGCGCCUCGCCGGAAUCGGAGGCUCAGGGAGGGAAGCUUGUCCGCGUGGCGUUCGUUCCUGCGGUUGUCUCGUUACUCGCCGACGGUCCAGGUAGGGCGGCGGCGAGCGACAGGACGACGCAGGCGUACGCCGACCACCAUCCCCCUCCGACCUUCCUCUCCGCCAUCCCCGCCCCUUCCUCCGCCCACCCCGCCCUCGGUCGCCGCGCGGCUCGCGGGAUUAGGGGCACAGGAGGGGAGGGAGCGCGUCCCUCUCGCGGGAUCCAAGGGCAGGGUCACAGGGAUUGACUGAACGGUGAUUAGAGAAGGGGUUUCCCAAGUGGCAGCUAUGAAGUACAUGUGGCAGAGCGUUGCUAGGGUAUUGCUACUACUGCUAGUCUCCAGUGGAUGGCUGGAAGUGGCCACAGCCCGUCCAGAUCAGUCCUUCCACAGUCUAAACCGCACUUUGACAGAGGAGUAUGGUGCCCAAUGCUACUCCAGCUCACUUUCUGUUCGGAUUUCACGAUAUUGUGACAUACUGGACGAGUCACCGAACAGUGAAUGUUGUGAUGCCAUCUUUGCAACCCUUGGGAGAAAGGAUUGCCUAUGCAAAGUUGUCAGAGAACCGAACUAUCGAUCAUCACCCAUAUCAGGGGGCGACUUUAUUGUUGAUCUUUACCGUUCUUGUGAUGGGGGCCCUUACAUAAGUCCAACGGCGGAAACUGAGUGUGAACAGCCAGGCAGGCAAGCCCCACCCACACGGCCGCCGCCCACACCGCCGUCGCCGCCCAGUGCAAGAACUGCAGAGGGUGACUUGAAAGGCCUUCUGUCCUUUUGGAGGAAGCUUGGAUGGGCAACUUCUUCGCUGCUGCUCCUGGGGCUCCUUAGUUUCAUUCUGUGGAACACCUUGACCCAGCUUGCUCAUGAUACUAGGGUCCGUGCAACAGGAUGGUUCGUAAGCAAUGCAACUAAUGGAGCAGAAACAGCAGGAGAUGCACGCCCCCCUCCCACAUGGAAUGUUAUCACAAACAACAUCUUCGUCUGCAACCUUGGCUUCUCCCAAAAACUCAAGGACCCAGGUGAAGCUAUGGCACCAGCUAAUGUGGAGCUUUCUGCUUCUGUAAGCCCUCAAGGUGGUACGCCCUUUACCAGCGGACAAGCAGAUUCGGUGGAAGAGAACCCAGAGUCAUCUUUGCUGCGAUAGGGAAGUGCUACUCUGCUGUUGAGAUUGAAGAUUUCUUCGACUCCAACUGUGUCCAUGUAGAAGAUUCAUUCAGUUAUCACAUUCGGAUGGCUCUCCUUGUUUCUGUGCUUGCUGUCGUCAUUCAGUCUACUGCCAACAUCAUCCCGGGCAAGGCUGUUCACGAUUGAACGGAUGUUGCUAAACCUCCCUAGUUACUGCUGCUCGUUUAUCGCUGUUAAUUCUCGCUCCUAAAUAACACGGCUGGGAUGUAGCCGGUGUGAAUCAUUAUCGAAUUUUCCAAUUGCUUGCCGUGUGGCUGCUACACAUGCACUCGUUAUAUGAGUAGUCCUGAUACUGUGCUUGUUGGUGGAUUGUGUCCUUAAGUUUUUGGUUAGUACUGGUAGAGUUGAGGUUGAGGUUGCAUAGUGAUUUGUUGAGAAAUGAUCAUGUUUGCUCAGUGUGUGAGCUGGAAA